rnacentral:lncRNA from 1 species
GCAGGUUAGGAAACACUUUGUGGCCUAUUGGAUAAUGAACUACUUAAAACAUUUUUUUUAUAAUAGAUAAGUAUAUUACAUGGGAAGAAGCGUUCCCAACUUACUGGGAGGAUACGAUUAGGGUAGUUGGUUAACUAGGAUCUCUCUCUCUUUAAAUAAUGGAUUACAUUUUAGCUGAUCAGGUAAAUUAUAUAGAAUGCCAGAGUUAGGGAGGCCAGAACAGGUAGACAUAGAAGUUGAAGAUAUACUAACAGAACACAUGAGAAGACUGUUUGUUAACCAAACCCGUAUGUCCGAGAUUUUGUGUCCAACAGGUGAAUUACAGCAGAAGGUGAUUCACUCAAUCCAACCAGGUGACUGGGUGUGGAUCCAGUCCCUGAGGACAAAAGAACUGGAAGCAGCCACAGUGGGAGGGGCCAUACCAAGUGCUCCUGGUAACAGCCUUUGCGUGUCUGGUGAAUGGAAAGAGUGGACAGAUCGAGAGCGUGGAUCUGCCGAACAUCAGAAGUCAUUCACAGAACCACAGAACUACUUCAUUUCUAUACUUAAUUAGAAUUCCAGGGGAACUCAUUGGGGUCGACUACCUCUUCUCCCAGACCCAUGGUGACCAGAGGCUGGAGUCCAACCUCGGUAAGGACCCGGAUGUCCCAGACGGGACACCUGAUGUAUUUGAGGGAGGAGAGGGAGAGGAGGAGGACCUGAGCGAGCUUGAGGAGGAGGAGGAUGACCCCACCAUGUCCUUGCCCGCCCUCGAUGACAGUCUCCCAGCAGUACCUCCACUCAGGAAGGCCACUCCACCGCUCACUAAGCCCACUCAACCCAACUCAUCCCAGGUACCUGUCGUCACACCCCCUGAUGACACUAUGGAGGUGGACACUACACCAGCUGCCAGUCAGGACCUGGAGGAUGACGAGUACAUAGGACCUGAUGGGGUUAGUGGAUACCAGCACGCGGUCCUCCUUGCCAAGAGUCUGGUGAGGCUCCUGGAGGGGCCAUGGAUCUCUAAUAGGCAAAUAGAGGAGAUCAUGGCUCUCUGGGGAAAUCUCCCGGAAAGAGACAAGGCGGCUGUCUCCUACCCAGAGAGGUUCCGGGACCGAGUCCUGCAGGGGCGCUUUAAAAAUUCCAAGAACUCCACUGUGAAGGGGGAAGAGAGUAUGAAGCGGAGUUGGUCCUCAAGGCCACACCCAAGGCAGUAAAAGUGACAGCUGACGGCCCCCCUGCUUUUGGUGCUCAGGGCCCUCUUGUGAGGGCUAAGAAGUGGAAGGAAGUGGAGGCAGAGGCUCGAGCCUGCGUCGUCUCCGAGGGAGGUGACCCCGGUGCAGAGACGGUCAUCCUGAGCCGGUGCACGGUUCAGUUCGGCAAGUACUGGGGUCAGACCUUCAAGUGGAUGAUGGAGAACGACGUGGGCUACAUGGUGCACGUUGUGACGUUGCAUCAGAAGGAGAGGGAGCGAGAGCGCAGCGUUUCCCAGCAUCCCCUGAUGGCCAACAAGGACGCCUUGACUCGCUACUCGUGCGCCUAUCCGGCGUUCGUCGAGAUGGUCAGGUUCAACCGGACGCACGAGGAAGCUAAAGUCCUGUCCUCCCAGCCAGGUGAGUUUGUUUAAUUCUCCUCAUUUUAUGUAAGAUGUAACUCUGUUGCUCUGACAGUUAAUUGCUUCCCGUGCUGAUUUCAGGCCAGGAGGGCAAGGCCCUUGUUGGAUAUGUCAGGAGCAUGAGGACGCAGACACCCCGUUAUCCUGGGAGUGCGAUGGCCGCCUUGAUUAGCCACAUCCAACGCAGAGACCAGGAGGGGGUAGCUGCUGUGGCCAGGCCCGCCGCAGCCAGCACCACCCCCGCCAGCACCACCCGGCCCAAGAGUGCGGCUACGUAAGUGUUACAUAUCAUCUUAAAGGAAAAUAUAAUUCUACUUGUUGCACACAGUUGGAAAUGAUGACAUAUUUGCUAUGUUUUGUUUUCAAAGGCAUCUUGGUCCUGCGAUCUCUGCGUUCCUUUCAAGGCGCUCUCUCGCCCAGGUGAACUGCAGGCGAAGAUGAAGAAUCUUAUUGCUUCUCAGCCUGCAGUUCAAGGGGUGUCUUUCCCUCGACCAGCACUGCCAUCGACCGAUCUAUCGGACGCAGAGCUGGUCAAAGCAGCUGCUGACAUAGACGCAUGUAUGUUUUUACGCCACUAUUAAUUGACAUAGGAAAUUUGAUACGUUUUGAUAAGUAUUCAGUUGAAGUUUGCCGACAUUAAAGGGUUUUAAAUAUUUUUUCCUAUCAUCAGCCUAAGGAAAUGUAUUGGUAAGAGUCAUCUGGGUUUAGAGGAGAGUCACUGCAUGUAUGAACUAUUCAAUAUCUUACCUUGCCACUGUAGCUGUCAUCCUGCAUGUAGCUGUCAUUCUGUAUGUCACUUAAUCAUGACUUUCUCUUUCUCUUUUCCAUUUUAAUCACUAAUUACAUUUCAGUUUUACACUCAAACUUGAUCAACACUCAUUUAAUAUUUUAACUGAAUCACUGUUAUCUACAUUUGUAAUAUGUCUGUCAAUUCAUGCUUGCAUUUAUUUUAUUUAUUAAUUAAUUCAUUUAACCUAUUUAUUUCUGUGUCACUGCAAAAGCCGUAGCCCCACAGGUCCCCCGAUCGCUCCCUCGGCCUCUGCCUCUAACUUCACAGGUCCCGGUUCCUGCCCUGGUCCAUGCCCCGGUCCAUGCCCCGGUUCCUGCCCUGGUCCAUGCCCUGGUCCAUGCCCCGGUCCAUGCCCAGAGCGAAGAGGAGGAUUUGCCCCGGCAGUCCUUCCUGCCUCCAAGGCCCUCCUCAGAAAGUGCUGAGCUGCUGCUCCCAGAGAGUUGGCGUUCAUCUCUCACCAAGGAGCAGCAGCGGUGGAUCGGCCGCACGCUGUUCACCAGGAACAGCUUUGGGAGGUCGACACUCGCCACCGACCUGGUCACGUGGUGGACGCCUCCCCAACCGCGGCCGAUCUACAAUCAGCCACCCGCAUCCCCCGACCCCUUCUUCGCAUGUCAGCUGUUCCUUUGGAUGCCCGUACGUAUAUGGGCAUGCAAGCUGGCACGCCCCCAGUCUGGGUGCAGAGGCACACUCUGCAAGGCUGGGCUCUACAAGACCAUCCGGAGGGUCUUGGACAUCGACCGCUGGUAUCUCAUGGCCACUGAGUACCUGGAAUGCGGUCGGUGUAAGAAGAAGGUCGCGGGGUGGUCACGGGACCUUGUCCGUCAGCUGGACGCUCGGCAUCGCUGCCAGUUUCCAGCAAUAUUUACAUACAAGCUGUCCUGUGACCUGCGGGUUGUGAGGAUGCUGAGGUCGCGCACUUUGGGGAACAGUGCGUCACAGACCUACAGCAAGCUGUGUGAAAGUCACAGCGAGUCCUGGAUGCGGAGUUGUAUACGGUACCUCGGGGAGUGCGAGCAGUUUCUGGCCUUGGGCACCUAGCGGCAGUUCACUGAUCCACCGGAGAUGCCCCCGGUGCCCUCACCCGUCUGGCUGCUGACAGUCUACAGCCAUGACGUGCUGUCGCGGCUGGACGAGGUGAAGGCCAGGGUCACCUCCAUCUUUGGGUCCAUCUUAAAGAUGGACUCUACAAAGAAGGUGACUAAAAAGCUCGCUGGUACCGCUGCAGACACGGCCGCCUGGGUUACCAACGUUGGUAACGAGCAUGGGCAGGUCCUCGUCAGUGUCCUCACUGCUGGUGAGGGCGACGGAUUGCUCCCCAUGGCGGCUGGUCUCAUGGAGCGUUACCGGCUCGCCGGGGUGGCGCCCCCCCAGCUCAUAUACGUGGACCGAGACUGCUGCUCCAGCUUCGGCGGAUCAAAGACAGCUGCCAUGUUCAAUGAGCGGGACCAGCUGGUGGUUCGGCUGGACAUCUGGCACCUGAUGUGGCGGUUCGCGUCAGGUGUCACCACUGAGAGCCACCAGCUCUACGGUCCCUUCAUGCGGCAGCUGUCAGUCUGCAUCUUUGAGUGGGAUGCAGGCGAUGUCCGC